GAUGAAGAACGUAGCGAAAUGCGAUACGUAAUGUGAAUUGCAGAAUUCAGUGAAUCAUCGAGUCUUUGAACGCACAUUGCGCCCCCUGGCAUUCCGGGGGGCAUGUCUGUCCGAGCGUCAUUUCUGCCCUCCAGCCCGGCUGGGUGUUGGGCGCUGUCCCCCCGGGGACACGCCCCAAAGGCAGUGGCGGCGCCGCGUCGGGUCCUCGAGCGUAUGGGGCUUUGUCACCCGCUCGGGACGGACUCGUCGGCGCUGGUCUUCCUCCAGGCGACCCUUCGGGGCUCGUCUUCCUUCGGUUGACCUCGGAUCAGGUAGGGUUACCCGCUGAACUUAAGCAUAUCAAUAAGCGGAGGA
rnacentral:misc_RNA from 1 species